rnacentral:tRNA from 1 species
GCCAAGGUAGCUCAGGGGAAGAGCAGGGCAUUCGUAAUGCUCAGGCCGAGAGUUCGAAUCUCUCCCUUGGCU